AGUGAACGCUGGCGGUAGGCCUAACACAUGCAAGUCGAACGGCAGCACAGUAAGAGCUUGCUCUUACGGGUGGCGAGUGGCGGACGGGUGAGGAAUACAUCGGAAUCUACUUUUUCGUGGGGGAUAACGUAGGGAAACUUACGCUAAUACCGCAUACGACCUACGGUUGAAAGCAGGGGAUCUUCGGACCUUGCGCGAUUGAAUGAGCCGAUGUCGGAUUAGCUAGUUGGCGGGGUAAAGGCCCACCAAGGCGACGAUCCGUAGCUGGUCUGGGAGGAUGAUCAGCCACACUGGAACUGAGACACGGUCCAGACUCCUACGGGAGGCAGCAGUGGGGAAUAUUGGACAAUGGGCGCAAGCCUGAUCCAGCCAUACCGCGUGGGUGAAGAAGGCCUUCGGGUUGUAAAGCCCUUUUGUUGGGAAAGAAAAGCAGCAGGUUAAUACCCCGCUGUUCUGACGGUACCCAAAGAAUAAGCACCGGCUAACUUCGUG
rnacentral:rRNA from 1 species